rnacentral:misc_RNA from 1 species
AACGCACAUUGCGCCCUUUGGUAUUCCGAAGGGCAUGCCUGUUCGAGCGUCAUUAUCAACCCUCAAGCCCCCCUCUGGGCUUGGCUUUGGACGGUCUGGUUAGGCGACUGACCCCUCCUAAAGACAAUGACGGCGGCCUCGUGGGACCCCCGGUACACUGAGCUUCAUUGAGCACGUAUCGGAUGAAGGGACCCCGGGUCACGGUCUACUUUUCUCCCCGCAACAACCCCCCUUCACGGUGGUGGUCGUCGUGGGACAGAAAAAACCCCCCUUUCAAGGUUGACCUCGGAUCAGGUAGGGAUACCCGCUGAACUUAA